CUGGCGAGAAGCGCUUCAUACUUGGCUUGAUUAUUGAAAGUUUUGAAGUUGAAUCAGAGGGCGUACUCGAUAACCACUCCCUCCGAGUUGGUGAGCAGGAACCCGACCCCGCUCCCUUGGAUAUUGGAAGCUCCAUCUAUAUGUAACACCCAGGUUGACCCGGGGUCAAAUUCAGAAGUCGCAGCUUCUUUGGAGCUCCCACCUUCCGACGUUUGGUCGGCUGUCGG
rnacentral:lncRNA from 1 species